rnacentral:rRNA from 1 species
GGACCCGUGAUCCGGGUUGCGGACAGUGUCUGGUGGGUAGUUUGACUGGGGCGGUCUCCUCCUAAAGAGUAACGGAGGAGCACGAAGGUUGGCUAAUCCUGGUCGGACAUCAGGAGGUUAGUGCAAUGGCAUAAGCCAGCUUGACUGCGAGCGUGACGGCGCGAGCAGGUGCGAAAGCAGGUCAUAGUGAUCCGGUGGUUCUGAAUGGAAGGGCCAUCGCUCAACGGAUAAAAGGUACUCCGGGGAUAACAGGCUGAUACCGCCCAAGAGUUCAUAUCGACGGCGGUGUUUGGCACCUCGAUGUCGGCUCAUCACAUCCUGGGGCUGAAGUAGGUCCCAAGGGUAUGGCUGUUCGCCAUUUAAAGUGGUACGCGAGCUGGGUUUAGAACGUCGUGAGACAGUUCGGUCCCUAUCUGCCGUGGGCGCUGGAGAACUGAGGGGGGCUGCUCCUAGUACGAGAGGACCGGAGUGGACGCAUCACUGGUGUUCGGGUUGUCAUGCCAAUGGCACUGCCCGGUAGCUAAAUGCGGAAGAGAUAAGUGCUGAAAGCAUCUAAGCACGAAACUUGCCCCGAGAUGAGUUCUCCCUGACUCCUUGAGAGUCCUGAAGGAACGUUGAAGACGACGACGUUGAUAGGCCGGGUGUGUAAG